UACGUAGGGUGCGAGCGUUGUCCGGAAUUAUUGGGCGUAAAGAGCUCGUAGGCGGUGUGUCACGUCGGCCGUGAAAACCUGCAGCUUAACUGUGGGCGUGCGGUCGAUACGGGCAUCACUGGAGUUCGGCAGGGGAGACUGGAAUUCCUGGUGUAGCGGUGAAAUGCGCAGAUAUCAGGAGGAACACCGGUGGCGAAGGCGGGUCUCUGGGCCGAUACUGACGCUGAGGCGCGAAAGGUAGGGGAGCAAACAGG
rnacentral:rRNA from 1 species